rnacentral:rRNA from 1 species
CGUACACAAUCUGCCUUAUACUGGGGCAUAGCCUUUGGAAACGAAGAAUAAUUCCCCAUAACAUAUAGAGAAGGCAUCUUUUUUAUAUUAAAGCUCAGGCGGUAUAAGAUGAGUGUGCGUCCGAUUAGGUAGUUGGUGAGGUAACGGCUCACCAAGCCAACGAUCGGUAGCUGGUCUGAGAGGAUGAUCAGCCACACGGGCACUGAGACACGGGCCCG